rnacentral:rRNA from 1 species
UACGUAGGGGGCAAGCGUUGUCCGGAAUUAUUGGGCGUAAAGAGCUCGUAGGCGAUGUGUCGCGUCGGCCGUGAAAACCUGCAGCUUAACUGUGGGCUUGCGGUCGAUACGGGCAUCACUGGAGUUCGGCAGGGGAGACUGGAAUUCCUGGUGUAGCGGUGAAAUGCGUAGAGAUCAUGAGGAAGACCAGUGGCGAAGGCGGGUCUCUGGGCCAUAACUGACGCUGAGGAGCGAAAGCCGUGGGGAGCGAACAGG